rnacentral:rRNA from 1 species
ACGCUCGAUACCUACGGGAAGCAGCAGUUAGGAAUAUUGGGCAAUGGAGGAAACUCUGACCCAGUAACGCCGCGUGAAGGAAGAAGGUUUUCGGAUUGUAAACUUCUGAUCUAGGGGAAGAAGGAAGUGACGGUACCCUAGGAGAAAGCCACGGCUAACUACGUGCCAGCAGCCGUGGUAAUCUGAGCGGGCUGGCAAGGC